rnacentral:rRNA from 1 species
UACGUAGGUGUCGAGCGUUGUCCGGAUUUAUUGGGCGUAAAGCGCCCGCAGGCGGCUUGGCAAGUUCGAGGUGAAAUCUCCCGGCUCAACUGGGAGGGUGCCUCGGAGACUGCCAGGCUUGAGGCAGGGAGAGGGAUGUGGAAUUCCCGGUGUAGUGGUGAAAUGCGUAGAUAUCGGGAGGAACACCAGUGGCGAAGGCGGCAUCCUGGCCCUGUCCUGACGCUCAGGGGCGAAAGCGUGGGGAGCAAACCGG